CGAACGCUGGCGGCGUGGAUAAGACAUGCAAGUCGAACGGGACAACAUUUGUAGCAAUACCGAUGUUGUUUAGUGGCGAACGGGUGCGUAACACGUGGGCAAUCUGCCGAGAAGUGGGGGAUAGCUCGCCGAAAGGCGAAUUAAUACCGCAUAUGAUCAGAGGAGACAUUCUUCGACAUCAAAGCCGGGGCAACCUGGCGCUUUUUGAGGAGCCCGCGGCCUAUCAGCUAGUUGGUGAGGUAACGGCUCACCAAGGCUUUGACGGGUAGCUGGUCUGAGAGGACGACCAGUCACACUGGAACUGAGACACGGUCCAGACACCUACGGGUGGCAGCAGUCG
rnacentral:rRNA from 1 species